GUGCUCACUUCAGCGGCACAUAUACUACAAUUGGAACAAUAUAGAGAAGAUUAACAUGGCCCCUGCACAAGGAUGACAUGCAAAUUCAUGAAGCAUUCCAUAUAUUU